rnacentral:tRNA from 1 species
GCCUGGGUGGCUCAGUCGGUUGAGCAUCUGAUUUCAGCUCAGGUCAUGAUCUCACGGUUUGUGGGUUCAAGGCCCACGUGGGGCU